rnacentral:rRNA from 1 species
GGCGAGUGAAGCGGCAACAGCUCAAAUUUGAAAUCUGGCGUCUUUGGCGUCCGAGUUGUAAUUUGCAGAGGGCGCUUUGGCAUUGGCAGCGGUCCAAGUUCCUUGGAACAGGACGUCACAGAGGGUGAGAAUCCCGUACGUGGUCGCUAGCCUUUACCGUGUAAAGCCCCUUCGACGAGUCGAGUUGUUUGGGAAUGCAGCUCUAAAUGGGAGGUAAAUUUCUUCUAAAGCUAAAUACUGGCCAGAGACCGAUAGCGCACAAGUAGAGUGAUCGAAAGAUGAAAAGCACUUUGGAAAGAGAGUUAAAAAGCACGUGAAAUUGUUGAAAGGGAAGCGCUUGCAGCCAGACUUGCCUGUAGUUGCUCAUCUAGGUUUCUACCUAGUGCACUCUUCUAUAGGCAGGCCAGCAUCAGUUUGGGCGGUUGGAUAAAGGUCUCUGUCAUGUACCUCUCUUCGGGGAGAACUUAUAGGGGAGACGACAUGCAACCAGCCUGGACUGAGGUCCGCGCAUCUGCUAGGAUGCUGGCGUAAUGGCUGUAAGCGGCCCGUCUUGAAACACGGACCAAGGAGUCUAACAUCUAUGCGAGUGUUUGGGUGUCAAGCCCGAGCGCGUAAUGAAAGUGAACGGAGGUGGGAACCUUUCGGGGUGCACCAUCGACCGAUCCUGAUGUCUUCGGAUGGAUUUGAGUAAGAGCAUAGCUGUUGGGACCCGAAAGAUGGUGAACUAUGCUUGAAUAGGGUGAAGCCAGAGGAAACUCUGGUGGAGGCUCGCAGCGGUUCUGACGUGCAAAUCGAUCGUCAAAUUUGGGCAU